AAAGUUUAGCCAAGCAAGCCCAAAAACCUAAGAAAGUAAGAAACAUGGCUUCCAAUUCCACUCCCAUUUCCCAGGUCACAAUUCACACAGUUUGGGAAUUUGGACACUAGAGCUCUGGUGACUGAGGAUUUUUGUGGCUGCUGUGAUCUGAAGAAGUAACAACUGCACUGAUUUGAUGAACAUGAUGCUGGCUUCGUUCCCUGUAUACCCAAAGCCCUUUGCAAGCGUUAGAGCAGAAUUCCGCACACAGCAAUCUUCUUUUCUCAAGUUCGCACCUCAUUCCUAUCCUCUUGCAAGCAAAAUCCUUGUUAAGAAUUUGCCAUAUACUACUGGUGAGACUACUUUGCAAAAGGAAUUUUCGAAUUUUGG